AGCCCUUCGGGGUGGAUUAGUGGCGAACGGGUGAGUAACACGUGGGCAAUCUGCCCUUCACUCUGGGACAAGCCCUGGAAACGGGGUCUAAUACCGGAUAUGAUCACCGGCCGCAUGGUCUGGUGAUGGAAAGCUCCGGCGGUGAAGGAUGAGCCCGCGGCCUAUCAGCUUGUUGGUGGGGUGAUGGCCUACCAAGGCGACGACGGGUAGCCGGCCUGAGAGGGCGACCGGCCACACUGGGACUGAGACACGGCCCAGACUCCUACGGGAGGCAGCAGUGGGGAAUAUUGCACAAUGGGCGAAAGCCUGAUGCAGCGACGCCGCGUGAGGGAUGACGGCCUUCGGGUUGUAAACCUCUUUCAGCAGGGAAGAAGCGCAAGUGACGGUACCUGCAGAAGAAGCGCCGGCUAACUACGUGCCAGCAGCCGCGGUAAUACGUAGGGCGCAAGCGUUGUCCGGAAUUAUUGGGCGUAAAGAGCUCGUAGGCGGCUUGUCGCGUCGGAUGUGAAAGCCCGGGGCUUAACCCCGGGUCUGCAUUCGAUACGGGCAGGCUAGAGUUCGGUAGGGGAGAUCGGAAUUCCUGGUGUAGCGGUGAAAUGCGCAGAUAUCAGGAGGAACACCGGUGGCGAAGGCGGAUCUCUGGGCCGAUACUGACGCUGAGGAGCGAAAGCGUGGGGAGCGAACAGGAUUAGAUACCCUGGUAGUCCACGCCGUAAACGUUGGGAACUAG
rnacentral:rRNA from 1 species